CAAGAGGCCAAGGACUUCGACAUGCAGUCGAGCGGCAGCACGGGAAGCUUGCUUCCUGGUGGCGAGCGGCGGACGGGUGAGUAAUGCAUGGGAAUCUGCCCGAUAGUGGGGGAUAACGUGUGGAAACGCACGCUAAUACCGCAUACGUCCUACGGGAGAAAGGAGGGGAUCUUCGGACCUUUCGCUAUCGGAUGAGCCCAUGUUGGAUUAGCUUGUUGGUGAGGUAAUGGCUCACCAAGGCGACGAUCCAUAGCUGGUCUGAGAGGAUGAUCAGCCACACUGGGACUGAGACACGGCCCAGACUCCUACGGGAGGCAGCAGUGGGGAAUAUUGGACAAUGGGCGAAAGCCUGAUCCAGCCAUGCCGCGUGUGUGAAGAAGGCCUUCGGGUUGUAAAGCACUUUCAGUAGGGAAGAAAGCCUUCGACCUAAUACGUCUUAGGAAGGACAUCACCUACAGAAGAAGCACCGGCUAACUCCGUGCCAGCAGCCGCGGUAAUACGGAGGGUGCGAGCGUUAAUCGGAAUUACUGGGCGUAAAGGGCGCGUAGGCGGUCCGUUAAGCCAGAUGUGAAAGCCCCGGGCUCAACCUGGGAAUUGCAUUUGGAACUGGCGGACUUGAGUGCAGGAGAGGAAGGUAGAAUUCCAGGUGUAGCGGUGAAAUGCGUAGAGAUCUGGAGGAAUACCAGUGGCGAAGGCGGCCUUCUGGACUGACACUGACGCUGAGGCGCGAAAGCGUGGGUAGCAAACAGGAUUAGAUACCCUGGUAGUCCACGCCGUAAACGAUGUCAACUAGCCGUUGGAUCCCUUGAGGAUUUAGUGGCGCAGCUAACGCACUAAGUUGACCGCCUGGGGAGUACGGUCGCAAGACUAAAACUCAAAUGAAUUGACGGGGGCCCGCACAAGCGGUGGAGCAUGUGGUUUAAUUCGAUGCAACGCGAAGAACCUUACCUACUCUUGACAUCCAGAGAACUUUCCAGAGAUGGAUCGGUGCCUUCGGGAACUCUGAGACAGGUGCUGCAUGGCUGUCGUCAGCUCGUGUUGUGAAAUGUUGGGUUAAGUCCCGUAACGAGCGCACCCCCUAUCCUUAUUGU
rnacentral:rRNA from 1 species